AGGUAGAGUUUAUGACCUGACAAUAAAUAAUUCAUGAACCAAAUAUUCGAAAUGAAAAGAAUUUUCUCCCGGAAGUCAUUCUAUAAAAUGCGAAAUGUAAACAUCAAUCAUGAGACUAGCCAUUGAAAAAAUAAAUAAUCUAUUACUAUUACUACUAGAUCUAGAUCUAGACUAGGAUCUAUAUCUAGAAUCUAUCUAUUAUAUUUAGAUUAGAUCUACUAUUAGUUAUUAGAAUCUAGGCUGAAAAUAAUGUACAAUCUAGAUCUAUAGACCUCUAACUCUAAUCUAGAUUAGGUAUACCGUAUAUCUUUGAAUACAUGGACAAGACACAACUUACUGAAAAUUCUAAUUU
rnacentral:sRNA from 1 species